UCGUACACCGGGGGUGCGAGGGCUGUCGCUGACCCUUCAAAAAGGUUGUGCACGCCCGAGCGCUCUCAAACAUCCAUCUCACCCCUUUGUGCAUCACCGCGUGGGUCCCCUUUGCGGGGGGCUUGCGUUUUCACAUAAAACCCCACACUGUGUAGAAUGUUUUCUUUUGCGCUCACACGCAAUCAAUA
rnacentral:misc_RNA from 1 species